rnacentral:rRNA from 1 species
CCUAACCUACGGGGGGCAGCAGUGAGGAAUAUUGGUCAAUGGGAGAGAUCCUGAACCAGCCAAGCCGCGUGAGGGAAGACGGCCCUAUGGGUUGUAAACCUCUUUUGUCGGAGAACAAAACCCGGGACGUGUCCCGGACUGCGUGUAUCCGAAGAAAAAGCAUCGGCUAACUCCGUGCCAGCAGCCGCGGUAAUACGGAGGAUGCGAGCGUUAUCCGGAUUUAUUGGGUUUAAAGGGUGCGCAGGCGGCGUGUCAAGCAAGCGGUAAAAUAGCGGGGCUCAACCCCGUCGAGCCGUUUGACCUGG